UACGGGGGGGGCAAGCGUUGUUCGGAAUUACUGGGCGUAAAGGGCUCGUAGGCGGCCAACUAAGUCAGACGUGAAAUCCCUCGGCUUAACCGGGGAACUGCAUCUGAUACUGGAUGGCUUGAGUUCGGGAGAGGGAUGCGGAAUUCCAGGUGUAGCGGUGAAAUGCGUAGAUAUCUGGAGGAACACCGGUGGCGAAGGCGGCAUCCUGGACCGACACUGACGCUGAGGCGCGAAAGCCAGGGGGGCAAACGGG
rnacentral:rRNA from 1 species